GAUGAAGAACGUAGCGAAAUGCGAUAAGUAGUGUGAAUUGCAGAAUUCAGUGAAUCAUCGAAUCUUUGAACGCACAUUGCGCCCUUUGGUAUUCCUUAGGGCAUACCUGUUCGAGCGUCAUUUAAACCUUCAAGCUAAGCUUGGUGUUGGGUGACUGUCCGCUUCACGGCGGACUCGCCUCAAAAUUAUUGGCGGCCGGUACAUUGGCUUCGAGCGCAGCAGAAACGCGAACUCGGGCCCGUCGUAUUGGCUCCCAGAAGCUAUCUUCACAAUUUUGACCUCGGAUCAGGUAGGGAUACCCGCUGAACUUAAGCAUAUCAAUAAGCGGAGGA
rnacentral:misc_RNA from 1 species